rnacentral:rRNA from 1 species
CUCCAACCCCUGUGACAUACCUAUACGUUGCCUCGGCGGAUCAGCCCGCGCCCCGUAAAACGGGACGGCCCGCCCGAGGACCCUAAACUCUGUUUUUAGUGGAACUUCUGAGUAAAACAAACAAAUAAAUCAAAACUUUCAACAACGGAUCUCUUGGUUCUGGCAUCGAUGAAGAACGCAGCAAAAUGCGAUAAGUAAUGUGAAUUGCAGAAUUCAGUGAAUCAUCGAAUCUUUGAACGCACAUUGCGCCCGCCAGUAUUCUGGCGGGCAUGCCUGUUCGAGCGUCAUUUCAACCCUCAAGCUCAGCUUGGUGUUGGGACUCGCGGUAACCCGCGUUCCCCAAAUCGAUUGGCGGUCACGUCGAGCUUCCAUAGCGUAGUAAUAAUACACCUCGUUACUGGUAAUCGUCGCGGCCACGCCGUAAAACCCCAACUUCUGAAUGUUGACCUCGGAUCAGGUAGGAAUACCCGCUGAACUUAAGCAUAU